UUUUACGGAUGGGAGUUUGAGAAUUAAAAAGCAAACUCUGCUUCAUUCUCCAGGCAAGCUGUAUUCACGGCUGGUCUAUGUCGAGGGGGACCAGCUCUCCCUGCAGAUCCAGGAUACUCCCGGGGGCGUCCAGAUCCAAGACAGCCUCCCCCAGGUCGUCGAUUCCCUGUCCAAAUGCGUGCAGUGGGCCGAGGGUUUUCUGCUGGUCUAUUCCAUCACAGACUAUGACAGCUACUUGUCCAUCCGACCCCUUUAUCAGCACAUCCGGAAGGUCCACCCUGACUCUAAAGCCCCUGUCAUCAUCGUGGGCAACAAGGGGGACCUUUUGCAUGCCCGGCAGGUGCAGACACAGGACGGUAUUCAGCUAGCCAAUGAGCUGGGCAGCCUGUUCCUUGAAAUUUCCACUAGCGAAAACUACGAAGAUGUCUGUGAUGUGUUUCAGCAUCUCUGCAAAGAAGUGAGCAAGAUGCACGGCCUCAGUGGGGAAAGAAGAAGAGCCUCCAUCAU
rnacentral:sRNA from 1 species